ACUUAAAUAGUUUAAUUAAAAAUUUUAGUUUGUGGUACUAAAGAUGUGACUGUACUUUAGGUU
rnacentral:tRNA from 1 species